GCGUCCGUAGCUCAGCUGGAUAGAGCACUCCUUUCGCAAGGAGAGGUGGGGGGUUCGAGUCCCCCCGGAAUACA
rnacentral:tRNA from 1 species